UUGACAGUGUGAGGCUCCAGGAAGGCUAACCUGGGCACACUUUUCUCCUCUCCUUAAAAAGGAAUACUAUUUGCUCUCUCCACAAAGAGGAGUGCCUGAUAAACCGCUGUCACAAUGAAAGGCCAAGGCUAAAUCGCGGCGUGGAAUUCCCAAGUUCGUCUAGACCUGGGAGUUACCAAAUUCCUUUGAUUGGUCUGUGAGCAAAACCUGAAAGGAAGGAAAAGCCACACCCAACUCCUAAAUUUACUUUGUAAAGUGUUUGGAGGCCUUGAGAGGGAACAUUUUGACAUCCAGGAGGCCUGAUGGAAACGUGCCACGGUCCUCCGCCCGGCGUCGCCCCGCGUCCCUGCCCCGCGCCCGCGGCUCCAGCCCUUUUGUUUGUGUCUCUGCGGGCUGGUGCAGCGGCGCAGCCUGUGGCCUCGGAGAAUCCGGCUCAGGUGUGUCGUGAACCCGGGAGCAGGGGCCCCCAAAACACCGCCCGGAGCGGACGCAGGAAAAAGACCCGAAGUUGCUUGGGAGGUUCGGCUUCCGCGCAGAGGCGUCCGCCCCGGAUCCCCCUUGCCCUGGCCCCGGUUCCGGCACUCACCAAUGUCUCCAUCCUCAUCGUCGUCCUCCUCCAGCUCCAUGUUCAGCAGGACCUUCCUAGUCAUCAUCUGCAUGUCUCCCGGAGACCGUCACUCGGCUGCUCUCGGCUCCGCUCGGCUCCGCUCGGCUCGGGCCGCAAGCUCCGCUCUGCCCUCUCGGCACUGCCCCGCUGCGCUCCGCCCGCGCUCUGCUUCAGCAGGCGCUGCUCAGCCUGCGACUGAGCAUGCCCAGAGGGACGCCGCCGCUCCCGCCCCAGAUCAAACCGCCCCGGCUGCGAGGAGCCUGGGAGGAAGUCGGGCUGGGGGGGUUGGGGGAAGGGGAGUGGCAGAAGCCGGGCGAGCCGCGCCGCGCCUGCGGGGAGCGCUGCAGCCGCAGAGGCAGGCCGGCUUCUAUGAGCUCACGAGGGUCUUUAAUCUGCAGAAUGACGAGACGUUGCAAGGUGCCCGCUUAGUGUGGGGGAGGAAAACGACACACGUGCGCACGGAGAGCCCCUGUGCCCCCGCCCGAAGGAGCACAUGCGGGGAGUGGUCGCGGGGUGCCCUCCAAGCCCCGGAACUAGGCCGAACAAAACACGCCAUAGCUACGUGUAAACUCUUUAAUAAGACAAUAUGGGAAACUGUAGUACCAGGAAGGACAAAGAAACGAAAGGGGGAAAUGACGGUAGAGAGUGAAGGAAUGCCGCCCUGACAACCCAAGGACUGGGGCGCAGAUGCGGCGGGAGUACCAAGUCCUUGGGUCUGCACAGCUGCUCUCAAGGACGCUGGUGAAUGGUGGCUUCCCUGCAGUGCCCGGGUUGUCGCUCACUCCCUGGAGAAGCACUUGCCUCCUGAGCCCGUUCCUAGUCAAUGUUCAAUGACAAGACACUACUACAUCCACUGUGUGUUUUAUUCUUUUAUAUUCUUACCCUUUUCCUCUUUCGCCUCUCAGAUGCUAGGAGUCCAGCCCAGCACCCCUGGCGUGCUAAGGGAGUACUCUCCACUUAUCUAUAGUCCCAACCUCAUAGUUAAUGUUCUCACUUGAAGGGAAAAAACAUUGCGAUCAAUAAUAACGCAGGAAUUUAAUCACGAAUAUGCACUAAAGGACAGUACAAAUUAGAGAAAACGUCCAGGAGACGCUCUCCUUGCUCCUUAAGCUCCGGUUUUUACCAAAGAAGACUACUUGUAACAUGAAAAGUAAGUGCAGAACUCUGGAGAUCUUGAGAAGAUGAGGAGACUAUGAGAGGGAGAGAGAGGAAGAGAGGCCGGGACCAGUAAUGCUAGCAAUGACCCCUAUGGCCUGAAAUGCCAUCUGCGACCUGUAAUACCAGUUAUGACCUAUAAUGCCAGCCCUCCAGAGGCCGAAGCAGGGGGACUCUGAAGCAAAACUCGGCUUCAGGACAGACUGGGAACUGAGAAGGGAAGGGAAGGCUUUAGUGAACUCUCGGUUCCAGAGGUGUGUGGGUUGCAGGAGGAAGUUUCCAUCUUCAUUUAGCCAUGGCGAUUUUCGUGCGCUGAGUCCGCUGAGUCCGGUACUAAAAGUUUUUACAGUGGUCGCUUCAUCUCUGCCUAGGAGUUACUGCCACUGUUUCACCUGACCGCCCGAUAGGUCUCUGUAAAAUGGGCUAGCAAGCAGCUGCUGUAUUCUUCAAUCUCUGCAAUCCUCCUGAGCAUACUUGAGACCACCCUAGAAGUCUGGGCACUGGCAAAGGGUCAGGAUCAUGACCAGGUGAGGCAUGGUGGCAGCUGUCCCUUACCUGGAUUGCCAGAACCUCAAUCACCCAGACUGAAAAGCAAAGAAUGUCUCUCUCACACAGAGAUUGUCAUCUCAGCCAUGUGGACUGCAGUGAAAAGCCAGAGAGACGUACCUGGCUCGCCUUCUGCCUUUGCAAAAGCAGUUAGUCAGACCACCAACAGAUUAGUUGGAGACUCCACAGCUACAGAACCUUAUAUGCUCUUUGAACAAAGAACUCUAACCAUUACAAUAUUUUAGCUUUGGGGAAUGAAAUAUGGAGUGUAAAAAAAUUAAUUAAUUAAAAAUAUUUUAGCUUUAGUUUU
rnacentral:lncRNA from 1 species